CCCGCUCCGCCGCCGCCCCUACUGCUCCACCGGACUGACCUCUUCUUUGAGCGCGGCGACAGGAGCAGCUCCACCUCCAUUCCCCCACGUGAUAACGCUCCAGACCCCUACCCCAUGCCCAGCCGCCGCUAGGGUUUCUACCUUCGCUUCCCCUAUCUCCUCACUUUCCCCACCGCCGCCCCACUGUGCCCCCUCUCAUAUUUCGAUCUGGAAAACGGGAAGGAGACGAUGAGCAGAGCUCCGAGCGCAAUGAGCGGUCAAAUCCGUGGCGGGCGGUGCCUCCCCAAGCUCCCGUCAGGGCGAGGCACUGAAGGCCGCCACCCUUCCCUCUAACGUGCAUCGCGGUUCUGGAUCGACCGCCGGCAUGCUCGAGGUGCAGCCUUUCCCCUUCCCCUAUCUCCUCUCUCUCUCACUCCUACCGUCUUGGUUUCCUGAGUUCUUGCUGCUUGCGGUUGCGGAGUGGGCAUGGAGGGAGUGGUGUUGGGGCUAGAAGGGAAGGGAGUGGAUCGGCCGCCGGCAUGCUUGCAGCCGUGCCAUCCGUGUCCCUCCACCGAUUCCCUGCAUCGGCCACGUCCAGGUCCUCCAGAUCCUAAUUAUGAUAUGACAUCUGAUUUUGCACAUGUACAUACCAACGUUGAUUUUGUACACUAUUAAUUAAGGGAAAUCAAAGUCAGAAGAACUGAAAAUACUAUGCACUGUUGGAUCCCCUCCUCUCCCUCCCUGACUUGCCGUGAAUCUUGUGCUGUGAGAGCUGCUCCUGUCCCUUCCCUGGCCGCCAUGGAUCUCGCCAGGCCCCAUCGGAGGAAGCCCGACAUCCCCAAGCUUGAUGGGCUUGCCAGCGGACUGGUCGAGGUCCUUGCCAUGGCCCCCGAGCUCCACAACUUCGCACGUGACCACUCUGGCUAGGCGGUGUAUACAGGCUGGUGCAUUGCACUGGGUGAAGGGUGCAAAUCAUGUUCCUGAGAGCAUCCAAAACAUAUGGGAGGUGCUGCCUGGAGCUGUGGGAGGACCGCGUCAUGAGACCUCGGUGACUGUGGACAUGGUAACCAACUAGACUCACACCUAACUUGAAUUUUCCUUCUGCUGAUUUGGUGUUAGUUCAGGUCCAGGGAAGGUGCUAAUGGAGAGUUGGAGGGUGAAUGGGAGAGGUGAUAGCUAAUUAUGGUUUGACUUUAGUAAUUAUAUUUGGUUUCCUUGUCCAUUGCCAUUUUGUUGUGCUAAAUGUAGUAUAUGAUCUAGAGGAUAUUUAGGUAUCAGAUUAGUAACAGUGCAGUAGCAUCAGACACUUGGUGUUUUCUCAUGUGAUAUAUCUAAGUGGUAAUCAGUUGUACAACUAGACAUAUGCAAAUGUCCAUAGUAAUAAACUUGUGGUCACAAAACUGCUGCUUAAAGUUUGUUCAAUUAUGGAAAUGGACAUUUUAGUUCUGCUCCUUAAUUUUGUUCAAUUAUGUAAACGCAUGGGCACGUGAUGCCGUUUCCUUACCUCACAAAACCAAACUGAAGGCAUCCACUUCUGGUGGAAAUAACUGAUCACGUGUAUUGCCAUUUUUACAGAACAAUUUAUUCUCCUGCUCUCUAGAGAUCUGAUCAUAACUAUCUUGCUCGAUUUGAUGUUGUUAUGUUUGUUACACUGUCUUGGUAGAUAUAGAUAUUAAGGAGAGGCACUCCAAGAGAUCAUGUGUAAGUACAAUUGAGUUGUGAGUUUUCUUUUCUAUACCAUUGAUAUAAUUUUAAUAUUUAUGAUGAUUGCAUAUGGAUAUAUAGCUAUUUUGUUUACCUUGGGAAUAGUACCAAUCUUAGAACAUGUUCCUAAUUCAGGUAAAACUAUGGAAAAUGAAUGGGUAGAUAGUUUUUGAGAUUUGGUCCUUCUAUUGACCAAUCGUAUAGGUUAUGAUCCUAUAGAGUUAGAGUUGUUAAUUCUGUUAUUAUUGGUGGAGUUAAAACCUUCAGACAGCUAACGGCCUUAUCAUCAUGUUUUAGUAUUGAACUGCAGAAUACUGGAGCCGUAGUUUCCGCCUCAUGCUUUCUCUAUUGUAAGGAGGAUAGCCGGGGCGCGGUGCAAGGAUAGCCGCCGCUUCAUCCGAGGAUGCGCCUGCUGACGGAUGUUGCGUCGAGUCCAUGACGGACCUCUUUGUGCAAGGCAUCACCUCCCCCCUUCAUCUCUUCUCUAUUCAGCCCAGUCGGAGUGAGCAUGCACGUGCAUUCCUACAUACUGAAAUGGUCGUGCCCGUGCGUCUCCAAGGUUGAACAAAUAUGGUUUUGUUUAACUGGUGGCUAGCUUUUUCUUACUAAUGGAACCUGCAGCUCGGAACACACUGCACCCAGGUGAUGGGAAGUCCGGAGCAACUAUCGAUGCAGGAGAUGAUCAGCUGUUCUGCACUGGAUUAGGGAGAUUAGUGUUUACCAGUGAGAGGGCUAUAAGGAGGGCCAGGGUGUUGGUCAGGGAGGAGUUGUAGAAGACUGGUAUCAAGUGAAGUGGGAGCUUAUGUGACCAACUUUUGGCUUGCAGUAGUCAAACUGUUCCAUUGUUCGUUUCUGUAUGUAUUGUAAUGGGAUAGUGGGAUGACCAGUAACCGUUUGACGACAUGCCUGAUGCAAAGGGAGAAUCGAGAGAAAUGGACCCUCCAUUUAGAUAUACGACUUGCUUUCGCCCUUUUCUCUGCAGAGUCAAGAUUGAAUGUUGCAACAAUAGCCAGAAACUGUUCAGGUUUGAUAAUUGUACCAACUAUAUUUUCUUGAGGUUGUGUGUUACUGAUUCAGUUUUCCUCUUGUAAAAUUUAGGCAGAGUGUGUAUAGUACCAUGGCCUAGUGUUCCAAACUGGAUGAGGAAAAGUGGUCUUGUUGGGCAAUGCUUCAAUGCACAAGGCAUGAGCUAUUUUAGGAGGUAGGAAGCUUAACACCUGUUUAUAUGAUUGUUGUAUGCUUAAAUUUAUGAAUUAGUUUGAUUCUGCUAUUCAUUUUCUGCAGAAACUAGAUGAUACUUGUAAUUAUUGUACCAGAAAAAAGAUUAUCAUUGUAUUUCUGCAACAGAAAACUUAUUGUUGUGAUUGUUUGAUACCUUACUUGAGGCGUUUAUCAGUUUGUGGAGCAAAGGUAACAUAUGCCUUGUCACGAGUUUUCCACAUGGUUUCAAAGAUGUUACAUUCAGUUUCUAACUUUCUAAUAGCAUUACUUGGGUUUGACAUUUCUUGUCACGGUUAGACUUCGGUCAGGUUUCACUAAUAUUUUUGGCUCCGUCAUGCAGCUGGAGGGAGAUGGUAUACUGACGAUUAUUGAGAGUUAUUGGAUUAUCGAGAGUUAGUAUUGUAAUAGAUCCGCUUCAGGAGCUAAAAUUAGGGAUGCAACAGAUCCGCUUAGGGAUGCAACAGAAUAGAGCACGGGAAGCACAUGUUUUCCAGCAAAACAAGGGCAAUCAUUUUUACUGACAAUUGCUUCACCAUCCAUUGGUCGAUCCAUGGUCGUUGGUACAGCUAACACGCAGAUCAGAUGUAUAUUCCAGUUAGCAAUCAUGUAGAACCAGGUUAGCUACUGGUUCGAUGAUCCUACUGUUUGAUUCUUUGCUCAGUUCAGAAAGUUGCUCUGAAUUAGAGGUUUGUAGUUGCCACACGGAAAGCAACACCUUCUACUUUAGUUGAGUUCCCAUGAUCACAGCGGAAUUCGAUCGCGGAUUGAUUUACCACAACACUCUGUGGAAUAAAACAGUAUCUAGACGAACACUUGCCACUUUCUAGGAUGUGUGUCUAUAGCAUCUAAAACAAAGUCCUACUAAUGUGCUUAUUGUAUCGAUGAAAUGACAAAUGUAGUUAUGUUUACUAAUCAAAUUACUUGGAUUCUUUUGCUGGUUAACUGUAAUGUUUUCAUGCUAUAUUUCUAAUUCAUAAGUUAGGAUUAUGCCAAUGGAGAUGAUGGAUCCACUCCUAUAGUUGAUCAGAUUAGCAAGUACGAGUUGAGGAGGGAUAGUUCGACUGGAGGGCUGUUGGAAUCUCCAUGUGUUCUAUACCUCGCGAUUGUUAGACUAUUCUACAAAGGUUUGAAGCUAAUCUUGUUGGGGGAUGUGAGAGAUUUUCUACACAAAAGGGGACCUAAAGCUGUUGAACCGAUCACUACUACAAGGCUCAUACAGGUUAUGGCUCAUUCAAAUAUCACAUGUGUUUCUUUCCCCAAAUUCUCAGAUGCCAUUGUUCCAUUGACCUGAUUCUGAUUGUUUGCAGAAUAAAAACAUGUUUGAAAUUAUGUUCAUCAACUGAGAGAUGUUUCCAAUGUGCCAUCAUAAGAUGCGCAACUCAACAUUUGAGGUUUCUUACUCAUAGGAUUAUCACAUCUUGAAUUCUGGUUCUUAGUUUUGGGUUCUAACCCUUAUUUGCUUGUCUUGUCUAUUGUUCUUACGGGUUUCAAUCUUCAGUGCACAUCUUCUGUAGGAAAUCUUGUACUUAAAAUUUAGAAAAAUGUCGACAUGUCACAGGAGCUAAAUUAACAACGUUGCUGUAAUGCUUGUAUGGCAGCCUUUCCCAUAAUCCGUUCAAUUACAGAGUUUAUAAUUAUGUGAAUGAAGUAAGGGAUCCGAGAAAAAAAGGUAAUAGUGCUUUACUUCCCAGGCAGAUUUGACAUAUCCUCGUUUACUUCUCUCUUCUGUUCUGACUAACUCCUUAAAUCAUCAGCAUGUGUGUAUACUUAUUCCUGCCCAUGUUUAUGUCAAGGAGCAUCACCUUAUGUGUUUAAGGAAUGCCCUUGAUUGUAUUAUCAUUAUUAUCUGUCACAAAUUUGGAUUCAGAAUUCUUUUAGUCGGGGAUUAUCUUGGAUUGAGAGCUGCCGCACUGAGCGUAGGUAGAUUGAAAGAGAUCGAUAUUGAAAAUAGAUGGCUUCAUUAUGCAAUUGACUGAAAACAAUUGUACCUUCAUCUCGAGCUACUAAAUUGAUGCUCCUUCAUUACAAUUCUAUCACAUUAUUUCACCAUAUGCUUCCGUAAUAGGUAUCUUCAACCUGAAUUUGAUCGUACACUUUUCUCCCUUAUUGUUAAAAUCAUCGCCACUAAAGUUUUCAGGUGUUGCUUUUCAAGUUGCUAAUUAUCGAUGAAUUCAAAUUUUAUGCAGCCCCGCCAUCUACAAUAUGGCAUUCAGAUGGUGAUCUGAAACUUAAAAUGGAGCAAAUGGCCAUGGGCUCUAAUAAAUAUGAGGUUUUCUAUCUCAAGAUACCUCAGCUGCAGCGAAAGACAAUGGAGCCAUGGGUGUCGGGGCGGGCACUGGUGGUCGGCGGAAGGCGUUGUGGAGGUGCUCGCUACUACCCAGCUUCACUUGGACGCCACCAGGUUCAGCCUUGGCAUGGACCUGUGCGCCGCUGCCUUUGUAGCUGCUCCCAGCUGCUGAGUAGCCGCCGUCCAGGAAGAGUGAUUAUUGUGGCCGGUGCUACUGAGGAUUAUGUGUUCCCACUUGCCACCCAGGAUCAUGUGUUUGCCACCCAUUAUAGGGCGCCCAUGUCGCUGCAACACCGUCGUCUCUGUCGUGAGGCUCGUGGGAGAUUAAUUAGGGCAGGAACUAACCAUCUUAUCAUCUGUUAUAUGGCCUAUAAGACUUUUUUGUGCUAAUGAACAACAGAUACAUUCCGGUGCUCUUCUAUCCUAGACACAGAGUUUUUAAAUGCA